rnacentral:siRNA from 1 species
UAAUUUUGCGGUCAUCUUUAUC